UGCUUACUGCCGCUCUUUUUUUCCCCCUCCCCUUGUUUAGAUUUGGGUUGCUGAAAUUUUCUUUUCUUUUUUUCAUCCUCCUCCUCCUCCUCCUCCUUACUUUAUUUUGUGUUUAACUUUUUUUCCCUUCUUUCCUUCAACUUUAAUAAACCCGAUCAUUCCUUCCGAUUGAUCCUCUGCCAAAUUUCCACCAAACGGUCGGAUCCAAAUUCAAUGGAAAAGGAAGCGACUGGCGGUCGCACGAAGCAAUGACCAUGGCAGAUGGAUGAAAUGAUAACAUCAACGGAAUUAAUUUCCUGACAAAUGAUGAUACAAAGUAUUGAAUGAAACAUGUCAAUCAUCAUUUACUUAUCUACAUUUCCCACACUCUAGUGAAUUUCAUACUUUAGCUAAUUUCAACACUUUAGCUCUAGCUACUCUUCCACCUCUUUAAUUUUUUCUUUAGCUCUCUCCAUCUCUCUAUCUCUUAUAACAAUCUCUUUUUUUAUACGUUAUUCAUCUUUAACCUCUCCCUUUCAUCCCAUCUCAAUUCCUCCUUCGACUCUCAAUCGCCCCCCAUCUACCUUCUUUCGCUCUCCUUCUCCCCAACGAGGUCGCGUUCCUCUUCGCUAUUCCCCUCUACUCCCCUCUCUCGCCCCACACACCGCCUGUCUCGCUCACUCAACUCCCUUUCGCCCUCCCCCACGUCAUCCCCCCUGCUUGCUAGCGUUUAGCCUUUCGUUCUUCCUCUCAGCGUUUAGCGCGGUGCAACGGAUUGUGGAGUCGCUCGCCGGAGGUAACACGUUGUAGCCGAACUAAAAGUGACAUCAUACUUCGGCACUUGCAUGGGUGGGAUUCCCGGAGAUCGUGUGGAUUUGCUAGCUCCUCCAUCCAAUGCGACUCGGCAGUUGAUGUAGAGCGGCCAUUCGAGAUUACAUGGGAGAUGCUGUAGUAGACUGCGUGUUUCGUAUACAUAUAUUAUAUACACCUGCCGUGCACCGCAAUACUUUUUGCCUUUUCCCAUCCACUUUUUU